GACGAACGCUGGCGGCGUGCUUAACACAUGCAAGUCGAACGGAAAGGCCCUGCUUUUGUGGGGUGCUCGAGUGGCGAACGGGUGAGUAACACGUGAGUAACCUGCCCUUGACUUUGGGAUAACUUCAGGAAACUGGGGCUAAUACCGGAUAGGAGCUCCUGCUGCAUGGUGGGGGUUGGAAAGUUUCGGCGGUUGGGGAUGGACUCGCGGCUUAUCAGCUUGUUGGUGGGGUAGUGGCUUACCAAGGCUUUGACGGGUAGCCGGCCUGAGAGGGUGACCGGCGACAUUGGGACUGAGAGACGGCCCAGACUCCUACGGGAGGCAGCAGUGGGGAAUAUUGCACAAUGGGCGGAAGCCUGAUGCAGCAACGCCGCGUGCGGGAUGACGGCCUUCGGGUUGUAAACCGCUUUCGCCUGUGACGAAGAGUGAGUGACGGUAAUGGGUAAAGAAGCACCGGCUAACUACGUG
rnacentral:rRNA from 1 species